rnacentral:rRNA from 1 species
AUUGAACGCUGGCGGCAGGCCUAACACAUGCAAGUCGAGCGGAUGAAGGGAGCUUGCUCCUGGAUUCAGCGGCGGACGGGUGAGUAAUGCCUAGGAAUCUGCCUGGUAGUGGGGGAUAACGUCCGGAAACGGGCGCUAAUACCGCAUACGUCCUGAGGGAGAAAGUGGGGGAUCUUCGGACCUCACGCUAUCAGAUGAGCCUAGGUCGGAUUAGCUAGUUGGUGGGGUAAAGGCCUACCAAGGCGACGAUCCGUAACUGGUCUGAGAGGAUGAUCAGUCACACUGGAACUGAGACACGGUCCAGACUCCUACGGGAGGCAGCAGUGGGGAAUAUUGGACAAUGGGCGAAAGCCUGAUCCAGCCAUGCCGCGUGUGUGAAGAAGGUCUUCGGAUUGUAAAGCACUUUAAGUUGGGAGGAAGGGCAGUAAGUUAAUACCUUGCUGUUUUGACGUUACCCACAGAAUAAGCACCGGCUAACUUCGUG